GUGGCUCAGUGGUAGAGUACUUGCCUAGCAUGCAUGAAGCCCUGGGUUCGAUUCCUCAGC
rnacentral:tRNA from 1 species